AGACAGCUAGGAUGUUGGCUUGGAAGCAGCCAUUCAUUUAAAGAGUGCGUAACAGCUCACUAGUCGAGCGAUCUGGCGUGGAUAAUAAUCGGGCAUAAACGAUCUGCCGAAGCCGUGGAUGUCGCAAGACAUGGUAGGGGAGCAUUCCAUGCGGCGUCGAAGAUGAGGGAUGACCCUUGUUGGAGCGCAUGGAAAAGCAAAUGUAGGUAUGAGUAACGAUAAGGGGGGCGAGAAACCCCCCCGCCGAAAGACCAAGGUUUCCUGAUCAACGCUAAUCGGAUCAGGGUGAGUCGGGACCUAAGGCAAAGCCGAACGGCGCCGCCGAUGGAAGAAUGGGUUAAUAUUCCCAUACUGCCUCAUGGAGUGACGUGGAGACGGAGAAGUGACAGUCCUGCCGGCUGACGGAAUAGCCGGUUGAAGGGUGUAGGUGUCGAUCGCGGUAGGCAAAUCCGCCGCGAGAGCCGAACCUGACAGUAUACGGAGCGCUUGCGCAACGUAAUAUGGACGUAACCAUGCUCCCAAGAAAAUCCGCUAAACUUAUCCAUGCGGCACCCGUACCGUAAACGGACACACGUGGUCGGGUUGAGAAUACUGAGGCGCUCGAGUGAUUCACGGUUAAGGAACUAGGCAAAUUGACCCUGUAACUUCGGGAUAAAGGGUCCCAACGAGAGUUGGGCGCAGAGAAUAGGUCCAGGCAACUGUUUAACAAAAACACAGGGCUGUGCUAAAUUGAAAGAUUACGUAUACAGCCUGACACCUGCCCGGUGCUGGAAGGUUAAGAGGAGAUGUCAUCGCAAGAGAAGCAUUGAAUUGAAGCCCCAGUAAACGGCGGCCGUAACUAUAACGGUCCUAAGGUAGCGAAAUUCCUUGUCGGGUAAGUUCCGACCUGCACGAAUGGUGUAACGAUCUGGGUACUGUCUCAGCCAUGUUCUCGGUGAAAUUGUAGUUCCGGUGAAGAUGCCGGAUACCCGCAACGGGACGGAAAGACCCCGUGAACCUUUACUGCAGCUUUGCAUUGAUUUUGGGUAAGUGAUGUGUAGGAUAGGUCGGAGGCAUUGAAAUGGCAUCGUCAGGUGUCAUGGAGCCGCUGUUGAAAUACGACCCUUUACUUAUCUGAGGUCUAAUCUCCUUAGUGGAGAGACAUUGCAUGGUGGGUAGUUUGACUGGGGUGGUCGCCUCCAAAAGCGUAACGGAGGCUUCUCAAGGUACCCUCAUGGCGUUUGGUAAUCGCCAGUAGAGUGCAAUGGCAUAAGGGUGCUUGACUGUGAGACCUACAAGUCGAUCAGGUUGGAAACAAGAGCAUAGUGAUCCGGUGGUUUCCGUAUGGAAGGGCCAUCGCUCAAAGGAUAAAAGGUACUCCGGGGAUAACAGGCUGAUCCCUCCCAAGAGCUCAUAUCGACGGAGCGGUUUGGCACCUCGAUGUCGGCUCGUCACAUCCUGGGGCUGGAGAAGGUCCCAAGGGUUCGGCUGUUCGCCGAUUAAAGUGGCACGCGAGCUGGGUUCAGAACGUCGUGAGACAGUUCGGUCCCUAUCUGUUGUGGGCGCAGGAUAUUUGCGGAGAUCUGACACUAGUACGAGAGGACCGUGUUGGACGCACCUCUGGUGCAUCAGUUGUGAUGUCAAUUGCAUUGCUGAGUAACUACGUGCGGAAAGGAUAAGCGCUGAAAGCAUCUAAGCGCGAAGCCAACUUCAAGAUGAGAUAUUCUUUUAAGGGUCGUUUAAGACGAAGACGUUGAUAGGUUGCAGGUGUAUAGUCGGUGACGGCACAGCUGAGCAAUACUAAUCACCCGAUAGCUUCAUUA
rnacentral:rRNA from 1 species